rnacentral:tRNA from 1 species
UAAGAAUUAGUUAAAUUAUAACGUCAGUCUGUCUAACUGAAAUUAUUGGUUAGUCUCCUAUAUUCUUAU